GGAGCGUGCAUGCUACAUCACUACGCUUUGAUUUCACCUAAGCAGAUGAAAAAUAGCAACAUGUGGAUUGUUUAUUCAAUCAUUUCAGUAUUGUAGUUUUAUCAACAAGGUUUAGCAAAGUAACACAUGGCUCAUCUUUCAAUAUAAAUGCUUUUAUUCUUCUGUACGUGUUAUCAAACUUCACAUUAUUCAUUGCACUGAACUGUGAAUGUCUACUGAAAAACCAAGGCAAUCAUAUCUUUUUCCUCUUAUAAUCUGACAAUGUUAUAAUGUACCAUGUAGUCGAUUAUUUAGUCACUCUAUAUUACUGUUUGGAAGCUAGAUCCAAACUCGCUGUGAUUCAACCUUUUGUAAGGAAUUUGUUCAUUCAAAUACAUGUUUGAUACUGUAAAAUCAAGAUCACUGUAAUCAUUUUAACACAUUGUUCGCCUCAAUUCUUGCCUACAGAUUAUACCUACAUAUUAUACCUAAUAACCUCAGUGAAUAUGGAGAUGUUUCCUCUUUCCCAGCAAAAGUUAUAGGGGGAUAUACAUUCUUGCAGUCCAAAGCGUUGUCUGUCGGUAUAUGUAGUCCCCUCCAACAAUCCACAGAUUUUGCCAAGGCGUCCAUCUCCAGGACACGUGAUUCCUUUGUCAUCAGUAAUGCAAAUUAGGUGAGGUCAGGGGUUAGGAUUAAUUGAGGUUGCAAGUCAAUAAACGUAUUGUCAGCAUUUCAGAGGAAUCGGCUAAUUUGAUUUGACCAUUAACUAAAACAUGGUAAGAGAAUGGAUCUGCGGGAUUAUGAGCAGAUAGUUAAGUAUAAACUGAAAAGUGAAUGUCUAGUGCAUUUCACAAAAAGAAGGGCUGAUGAGGCAAGUACUUUUUUUGUUGACUUUCAUGUCAGCCCUACUGGAGCAUUUCUCAUUUCAUGGACAAAACCAUUUCUCUGGAACUUCUUUUCUAUAUCCUUCAAAAUGAUUUAUAAAAACUUUACCAUACUAUAUAUUUAGCAUGUGUUUAUUAAUAAAUUGCCAUCUUUACACAAUGUGUCAUCAGGUUUCCCAAUGCUCAGCACGUCAGGCCAGUACUGUAUUGAAACAGAAUAUACUCCCAUAAAAGAUCAACAAGAGAAUGUGUGAAAUUCUCAACAUCUAAAGAAGCCUCUGCUUGCUCCACCAUCCACAAAGAAUGGCUUGGUCUAUCUAUCUAUCUAUCUAUCUAUCUAUCUAUCUAUCUAUCUAUCUAUCUGUCUAUCAGUCCAUCUAUAGUAAUAAGAGACAUGCAAAACUCACCUUCGUGUGAGGUUUUAAUUUUAACAGCAAAUAAUGUCUUUUUGUUCAAAGUUUGACAACACCGUGGAGGACAUAGUAGGACAGGAAGAUUUGGACAUUUAGUGACAACAGGAGCUAAUGGAACUUGUCAAAGCCAAUCUUGUCAAGGGACAAGAAAAAACAAGGGGCAAAAUAAAGUCAAGUGACAAAACAUCAGACUUCAAAGUCAGGGACAAAGUUUGAAGACAGAACAUAGGGAGCCAACAGAGAAGGGGGGGUGGGGAGGGUGUUGGAAGCCAGAUUUUAAAGACCAUAUAUUGUUAUGGCAAUCCAGGGUAAAAGCACCGAUCUCCAGGAUGAGAAUGGGGAAAUCUUCCACAAAAUUAACCAAUUAAGUUGAUCAUAGAGGACAUAUCCAGAGUGCCACACCGAGGUGUUAAAAAGUAAGGGAAAGCUUCACUGGUUGCUCCACCAUCUUCAUCCCCAUCGCAACCAGCAGCCCCACCACCAUCAUCAUCCCCACCAUGUUCUCCAGCCCCAACCCUCAAGCUAUUCCAGAGAAAUGAAAGGUUGUCCAUGUCCUCCUCUCUAAGGUCCUAAUAUGGAGUUGGAAAGUGAGAUUAAAAACUUGGAGUACAAAAUCAUGGUGGAAAUUAUAAAUGAGCAUCAUCACUGGACAGUAGCGUUAUGUAGGUCAUUUACCCACAAGAAAAGAAGUCCCUAUUCCUGGAUCCACUGGGGGAGUCUAAGAAAGACAUCAAAAGAUGUUUGGAAACAACAAGUUUGCAGAACAAAAGGAGACAGUAGGUUUUCCUGCUACAGAAGAUCAUCACAGUCAUCACCAAACACAGCAGCAAAUUGCCAUCACUCUCCUCCUAGAGACUGGAACUAUGACCUGACAGAGACGUCGCUUCUGUGAGGAAGAGGAGCAUGAGAUGAACUUAAAUUGGAGUCAGAGUCAGAUCUGUUUGUGGUGGUUCCACCAUAUGUGCGUUCGAGGCCCAUCAGCAGUAGAGGCUUUCAUUUGUUCUGCUUGUGUCACUGUAGAGGCAUCAUCUGAGCGUUAUAGACUGAUACGUUUUGUGGCAGCUUGAAAAUGCAGUGUGAGAACUUGAUGCUGUAUUUCUACUGCUUCCACACCUGUUUAUGUCCAGUGCAUCCGCUUCUUAUGUGCAUAUGUGCAUGUGCCUUAAGAGAGUCCUUUUUGAAAUGUUAUUAUUAUUUAUUUUACUUUUUAUUAU